CUGGCGGCGUGCCUAACACAUGCAAGUCGAACGGGGUAAGGAGAGCUUGCUUUCCUACUUAGUGGCGAACGGGUGAGUAACGCGUGAGAAACCUGCCUUUCAGUGGGGGACAACAGUUGGAAACGACUGCUAAUACCGCAUAAUGUUAUUGGGGCAUCCCCGAAUAACCAAAGAUUUAUUGCUGAAAGAUGGUCUCGCGUCUGAUUAGCUAGUUGGUGAGGUAACGGCUCACCAAGGCGACGAUCAGUAGCCGGCCUGAGAGGGUGAACGGCCACAUUGGGACUGAGACACGGCCCAAACUCCUACGGGAGGCAGCAGUGGGGAAUAUUGCACAAUGGGGGAAACCCUGAUGCAGCGACGCCGCGUGAGUAAAGAAGUAUUUCGGUAUGUAAAGCUCUAUCAGCAGGGAAGAAAAUGACGGUACCUGACUAAGAAGCUCCGGCUAAAUACGUG
rnacentral:rRNA from 1 species